rnacentral:rRNA from 1 species
AAUCAACGCUGGCGGCGUGCCUAACACAUGCAAGUCGAACGCGGUUACCCCGCAAGGGGAACUGAGUGGCGGACGGGUGAGUAACACGUGGGAACGUGCCCUUUGGUUCGGAACAACUCAGGGAAACUUGAGCUAAUACCGGAUGUGCCCUUCGGGGGACAGAUUUAUCGCCAUUGGAGCGGCCCGCGUCUGAUUAGCUAGUUGGUGAGGUAAUGGCUCACGAAGGCGACGAUCAGUAGCUGGGCUGAGGGGAUGAUCAGCCACACUGGGACUGAGACACGGCCCAGACUCCUACGGGAGGCAGCAGUGGGGAAUCGUGCGCAAUCGGCGAAAGCCUGACGCAGCCAUGCCGCGUGAAUGAUGAAGGUCUUAGGAUUGUAAAAUUCUUUCACCGGGGACGAUAAUGACGGUACCCGGAGAAGAAGCCCCGGCUAACUUCGUGCCAGCCGCCGCGGUAAAAC